rnacentral:lncRNA from 1 species
CAAACACACGUCAUACAUUACAUUACUACAUUUAUAAAAUUCCAUAAUAAAAAUCUUAAAAUUUAAUUUUAAUUUAUUAAAAAUAUUCUAUAUAUAUAUAUAUAAAAUAAAAUAAGGCUAUUAUACUAUCUAUAGUACCGGAGCUCCAGUAUUAUAGUCUUGUUUUCAAUCUUAGGCAAUUCAAAUAAAUGAUCUACACCGAUAAAUAUAAUCUAAGCUAUAUGAAGUUUUAGGAAUAAAAUUUAAAUUUUUUUCAAUAUCGUUUACUUAGUAAAUAAAUCAUGUCAAAAUGAACUGUGAAAAUUAAACAAUCUUUAAAAUUUGAGGAUAUAGUUUUUGAAUUUAAGAUUAAGGAUAUAUAGAUCUUGAUCCAGAUAGUUUAAAAUAUUUUCUAUUAAAAUUUGUAUAAACUUAAAUUCUUUUACGCCAUUAAAUUACAAACUUGCAAGAGUAGUCAUUGAAAUUUGACAAGUUUGAAAUAUUUUGAUUAUAAAGUAUAUUAUGUCGAAAAAAUAUAAACAUUUAUUUCUAAAAAUUUUAAAUACCCUAUAUUAAUUUUAAUAAUGAGGUUCGUUGAUUUGAACACACUAAGAUUGAAAACGAGACUAUAGUGUAAAAGAUUCGAUACUAUAC